GUUAAUUAUCCCGUGUUCUGACUUUCCAGGGUUUCUGCAGCCAGCAGUGAUGCACUGUUUACUUUGCAGUAACCAGAGAACCAUGGCUGAUUUCAGAACUGAAGGGACAUCAAAAUGUUAAAAUAGAUCUGAAUCUUGUAAAUCUGUACUGACCUUGGUGGGGAGUGAGGAUCUCUGUUGCCUUCAGCUGGCUUGGUGUGAUGUUCCUGUGGUGCUGUUCUCGCUCUGGGCAGUGAUGCACAGCAGGGACUUAUCCAGAUGGUCUGAGGAGGAGCCACCUCACCAGUGUAAGACUGUAAGAGCUUCUUCACCCUGUUUUGGUCCAAGUUCCUGAGCUGGUAUCUCUGCACAACGUGUUGCUCAUCAAACACCCCAGCUGUCCUCAGUAACGUUGCUGCUGUCAGCCAGCCAGUAACCUCUGCUCUGGCCAUCAAACAUCACCACUAAAAGUUCAAGACAGGUAAGAAAUAAUUACUAUAAUACCAUUUUUUAAUUUGUCUUCUGCUUUUCCAUAGGGAUUACCUUAUGUUUUCCCUCUUUCU
rnacentral:lncRNA from 1 species